rnacentral:rRNA from 1 species
AUGUUUUUAUGGAUCGUUGGAGGCCCUCAAUCAUUCGCUCAAGUUGAGAACCGUUUUGUACGGUCACUUUGGACAGUUCAUACAAAGUUGCAGGAAGUUCUGUUAUGUUUGCGGAAGUUAGCGAAAGAUAUCAUCAAACCGACAGAUCCUACUUUUAGCUAUGAGCAUGAAAGGAUUAAAGAUGAACGUUUCUGGCUUCAUUUCAAAGGUGCUAUUGGUGCAAUAGAUGGAUCACAUGUGCCAGUUUCAGUACCAGCGGAUGAUUCGGUUAACCAUAGAUGUCGGCAUGGUUUUACAUCUCAGAAUGUGCUUGCAAUAUGUGACGUUGACAUGAGGUUUACUUUUGUGGUUGCGGGUUGGCCGGGUUGUGCACAUGACACCAGGAUCUUGAAUCAUGCAUUAUCACAUUUCUCUUCAUUUCCUGUACCUCCCAAAGGGAAAUAUUAUCUUGUGGACUCCGGAUAUCCAAAUCGAACGGGAUAC